rnacentral:misc_RNA from 1 species
CAACCCCAUCACAGCACAUGUGGCCUUGGAGCUCGCGGUCCAGCGGCUCUUAAAAUCAGUGGCAGUGUCUGUUAGACCCUAAGCGUAGUGAUUUUUCGUCGCUUCAGGGCCUCGCAGGCGGUCGCCAGAACCCUCCAAUCUUCUCA